AACUUUCGAGGUACGACUAUAUUGUACAGGACAGGCGGCCACCCUCUUCCACAGAGGGGAGCUGUGGGGGCACCAUGUUGUGAUUCACCUCGGUUCACCUGUCUUGGGCUGGCCCUGCUUGGGUGACUUUAAAAGAGGAUUGGACAAGUUCAUGGAGGAUAAGGCUGCUUGCCAUGAUGGCCACCAGUGAUGCUUUAUGAGUGCCAGUUGCUGGGAAUCGCAACUGGGGAGAGGUGCUCUUAUGCUUAGUUCCUGCUUGGGAGCUUCCUACAGCGGCAUCUACUUGUCCAGUGUGAGUACAGCUCCUGCCAACCUAGCAGCUUGAAAGCACGCCAGUGUAAGUAGAUAAAUAGGUACUGCUGUGGCAGGAAGGUAAAUGGCAUUUCCGUGCGCUCUGGUUUCCGUCACAGUGUCCCGUUGUGCCGGAAGCGGUUUAGUCAUGCUGGCCACAGGACCCGGAAAGCUGUCUGUGGACAAACGCCGGCUUCCUCGGCCUGAAAGUGAGAUGAGUGCCACAACCCCACAGUCGUUCAUGACUGGACUUAACUGUCAGGGGUCCUUUACCUUUAUCUUUACCUUUACCUUUACCUUUACAAUAGUUAAUAGCUAUAGAAACUGAGUUCUAAAAUUUGGGGGAAAUGCCCAUUCUAAUUAUUAUGCUCCAAUAAUUUGUUUACUCUUUAUGGUGCCAAAAUAUUCAUAAUUAAUAUUAAGAAUGCUUACCAAGGUCAGAUAUAUAACAAUAUCUGACAUACUCACAUGGGAAGCGUGAAAGCACAUCACUGUGCUCUUUGCAAUACUGCUUUUUACCCACUGAGUGGCAUCACAUUCAUGUCUAAGAAAUGUAAAUAUAGUUCUGCCUGAUUUCCUAAAGUGACGAAGUACAGGAAAGAGGAAGGAGUUAGUUUAGGAUGGAGGUGGAUAACUGGCAACCUAGGGCCCAGUCUGGAUGGCAAAUAAAUUAUAUCUGGUCUUUGCUAAUCCUACCAAAGUUGAUUCAAGCUACUGUAAACAGUUUGUUCACAAUUUUACUCAUAAGGAAAAUAACUAUGGAAAAUAUCUGUUUCCUAGAACAUAAACCUGCAGACAUACACUGCUGCAAAUAGUAUAUUUUUUUGGCUUCCACAGUAAUGGGAUUUGUAUUCUGAUAAUUCACGGGGGGGGGGAGAGGUUGUUUGUGCAUUUGAAAUAUUAAUAUGGGUCCAUAUUAAUAACAACCUUUCCCUUUCCUAAUCCAUCCAACACACUCUCAUAAAAGUUGAGGCACUCUUCAGAUGUCUAUCCACCCUUCUCAAGAUACUCAAGUCACAUAACACUUAACUAAAUUAACAAAUAUGUAAAAAGAAUGGAAUGGACAGGAGGAAGAACUGAAGAAAGGAAGGAGGUUUUUUUGUCUGAGAUUCCAGCUGCCUCAAGUAAUCAGAGAUGUUCCUGCACACUCUUUCAGUCCCCAAGAAGGUUGAAAAAGCCUUACAAAGAUGUCUUCAAACUUAUCCAGAUUCUCCUUUUUCAUAAAUGUGACUUUCUCCUUAGCUGCAGUCUUUUAGAAGUAAAUCUGCUGUUCAUCCCAGCUGUUUCUAGGUGUUGCUUUCUUCUUGGACACAGAUUUGUGAAACUGAUUGUGGAAGUCAUGCAAGCCAAUUGCAAGCCAAUUGCACUGGCAUCCUGUACAACCGAUGUAAGAUUUUUCUGGCAGUCUCCUCAAUAUUAGGUGAAACUGUCUUCCCAAAGUAGCUAGACCACAGUUUGUCCCACGUUUUGUCUUCAGUUAUACAUGGGAUCUUUUUUCCCAUACUUUUUUCACAGCUAGAAGGGGGCCCAUUUGGAUUUUUAAUUUUAUAAAAGCUGAAAAAAUCCCUUUCCCCCUUACACCUAUCCAAAGUAGCAGAGUCGCAACUGACACAUAUGAGUUACUUGGGGCAUAUAGAAGGUGUCAGAGGUAUGCACUGUUCGGUGAGCUCAAUUUACUGCCCAGGGAUCUGAGAUGCAAUUGGGACCAGUGCCUGACCCACAAAGAAUAACUGGCCACAGGAAUUCUUUUGGGUGGUUUCCAUGCCCCCCCCCCCCGUUUCAUAUUUAGAAAACACAUCUGAAUUGUUAUUUGCUGAUAUGAAUAUUCACAGUUACAUUCUUUGAUGAGCUUGCUUCCUGUUUCGGCUACAACUCAUCAAACUUCUCAUUACUUUUGGUCCAUAUUAGCCAACAUCCGUCUUGAUUGUUCAGGCCCAAACAUACCUUCUUUAGGGGCCUUUAUGUUUCCUUGUAAACAUUUCAGAAACGUUGGUUGUUGUUGUUUUUUAAAGGCAAAGCUGACAUUGUCCCACAAGCUUAGCCCAUCAGGAAGAAUACACCCCUGUACAGUGGUGCCCCGCAAGACGAAUGCCUCGCAAGACGGAAAACUCGCUAGACGAAAGGGUUUUCCGUUUUUUGAGCUGCUUCGCAAGACGAAUUUCCCUAUGGGCUUGCUUCGCAAGAUGAAAACGUCUUGCAAGUUUGUUUCCUUUUUCGUAAAACCGUUAAUACCCAGGGUGCAUUGCUUGAAGAGAUGCAGUUGCGACUUGACUUCGAGGAGCAACACAUAGCACGCGGUGUGGUAGCCUUUUUUGAGGUUUUUGAGGACUUUGCUGAUUUUUGAAGCUUUUCCAAAACUUCUUUUGCAGCCAUUUGGUAAGUUAAACUUUUAAAACUUUUUUGGGGGGUUUUGGAUUUUGGGUUGGGGUGUUUGGAAUUCAAGGACUUGGUGUUGGGGAGAGGUUUGCAAGAAUCUGGGAGCUUGUGUGGUUUUUUUCUGCAUUUUUAUGAUUUUUGUGACCAUUGGGGCACUCUGCUGUUUUUUAAAAAAAAAAAUUCUGGGUUUGAAUUUCUGUGUGGUGGGUGGCUGGGGGAACAGUUGAGGAGGGGUUUGCAAGAAUCUGGAAGCGUGUGUGUGUGUUUUGAAUUUUUAUGAUUUUCUGUGACCAUUGGGCCAUGUUGUUGUUUUUUCCCAAAAAAAUUUAUGAGUUUGAAUUUCUGUGUGGUGGGUGGGUGGGGAACAGUUGGGGAGGGGUUUGCAAGAAUCUGGGAGCUUGUGUGGGUUUUUUUUUUGAAUUUUUAUGAUUUUCUGUAACCAUUGGGCCAUGUUGUUUUUUUAAAAAGAAAAUUCUGAGUUUGAAUUUCUGUGUGGUGGGUGGCUGGGGGAACAGUUGGGGAGGGGUUUGCAACAGUUGGGGAGGGGUUUGCAAUUUCUGUGUGGUGGAUGGGUGGCUGGGGGAACAGUUGAGGUUUUUGAAGACUUUGGUGAUUUUUAAAGCUUUUCCAAAACUUCUUUUGCAGCCAUUUGAGGAUUUUGAAGACUUUGGUGAUUUGCAGCCAUUUCGUAAGUUAAACUUUUAAAACUUUUUUGGGGGGUUUUGGAUUUUGGGUUGGGUGUUUGGAAUUCAAGGACUUGGUUCUGGGUUUGAAUUCCUGUGUGGUGAGUGGGUGGGUGCUUUUGAAUUUUUUGGGUGUGAAGCACUGAUUUAUUUUUUUCCCUGAGUUUACGAAGCUAGGAGCUGUGCUGCCAUGGGACCCAAGAAGACUGCUGCUGCAGAGGCCGGCGAGAGGAAGAAGGAGAAGGUGACGCUGGAAAUGAAGAAGGAGAUCAUCCGGAAGCACGACGGUGGAAUGCGUGUGACAGACCUCGCCAGGGAGUACGGCAGGAACCCAUCGACCAUCGGCACCAUCCUGAAGAUGAGGGAGAAGAUCCUUGCGACUGAUGCAGCCAAGGGAGUCACCAGGAUCGUGAAGAACCGCCCAGCUGUUCUGGAGGAGGUCGAGAAGUUGCUGCUCAUCUGGUUAGAAAAGAAGCAGCGUGCAGGGGACACAGUGACUGAGGCCGUCAUUUGUGAGAAGGCCAAGGCCUUGCACGCAGACCUCGUCCGGGAACAGCCAGGAACCUCAGGCGAGCCAGAAGUCUUCAAGGCAAGCAGAGGCUGGUUUGACCGGUUCAAGACAAGAUCUGGAAUCCACAGCGUGGUCAGGCAUGGAGAGGCUGCCAGUUCUGAAGUUCCUGCGGCUGAAGAACUGAGGGACAUUUGCCAGAAGUGGAAAGAUGUGCAGGCUUUUGCACAGCGGCACUACCCUGACAAGGACCUGACACGUGACCUUGUGAACACUUUUGAUAUGAGGGUCAUGUCGCCUUUCAGGGAGGUGCUGAAAAGGCGGAUGAAGCAGCAGACCAUGGACAGGUUCUUCAGCAAGAAGCAAAGAGUGGAAGAGGAACCUUCUUC